AUUAGCUACUCAUUUUAAUCCUAUACUUUAACAAGAAAUGAAAUUUAAAAAAACAAAAAAAAAUCCAAUUGACUUAAUAAUCUAUUCCUAUAUUUAUUACUAUUAUUGUUAUGAAUCUAAACCCUGAAAAAACAAAUAAAUAAACGCAAUUCAUAUUUUAAAAAAAAACUAGGGUGUAUAGAGUAAACAAGUGGGGAAAAAUCCUAAGGAACAAGACCAAGGCCCAAAAAGGGGCUAACCCAUCACCAACUCGGCAGAAAGUACAGGAAGUGGAACGAUCAGCACUACCCAGCCGCCCAAAUUUCUCAAAGCUACACGCAGUGUAUUAAAUGACAGCUAUUAUGGCAUGGUAUUGAAAAGGCGUGAAGGAAUUUGGGGAAUAUCGAUGUGUAACUUCAAAAAUAAUUAUCAUUAAUAAUAUUAAACAAAAAAACUUAAAAGAAAAACCAGUCAACUUAAAAUAAAAGGAAAUCCAACGUAAUCCCUUCUCUCCCAAAUUAAUCACCUUUCACUCUCUCUAAUAUGUUUCCUUUCUCUCCUAUUUCGAUCACCUUCUUCCGUUAGUUUCUCCCGAGUGGCGUGGCGGCCAACCACCAUCAAUCCGAAAAUUCCACACAAACCCUUGUCUAAUUUACAUCCUAAACAUGAAUCCAUGCAUAUUUCUCUCUACUCCCCACCGAUUGUUCCGAUCAAGGUAUCACCCUCAACUUUGUCAAACCUAUUCUGAAUCGAUCAAACUAAUCGAUUAUCCACCUUCGAUACCAAAAAGGACACAUCAUACAAAGAGAUUUUUGCGAACAACAAAAGUCAAAGCUUGCAUCGCCUAUAUACAGAUCUAAAUCGCCAUUUAAUAAUAAACUACUAUGCUCAAAUAUUUGUUCUAAACCUUUAAAACCAGAGAGAAGAAAAUGUCAAUCGAAAAGUUUACCGAGGUAAUCAGAUCCCAGAAUAUCGAUGUUCCCCCCCCCCCCCCCAUUCAGUGAUUCCACGCUUCUUUUUAUAGAACUCAGAAUGUACUCCCCCUAAUCGUGAGUUGGCAAGGAUUGUAUCAUCAUUCAGUUAGAAUCAAAUCAUUCUCAGAUUUGGUGGGGACCAAAAUCGUGACAGGUAUGAAUUUUUUUCUCUUUGUAGCGUAACCUCCCAAUCUUCUAGAACCUGUGGUCCCUUAGAAACGAUUCUUACUGCUGAAAUUUUUACUCCUUCAUUUUGAUAUUCACUAAUGGGUUUACCGCAGUAGAAAGUUGAUUCCCGCUCUUUAACUAUCAUAUGCUUUCAACUCAUACUUUUGAACUGGGUUUGCAACAGGUAUAAAGGGUAAUAUUUCAUUGACCUAAGGCCUGCCGAUUUUGACUAGCUCGUCAUACUUUCCGCUGUUCUUUAUUUGGCUUGUAUCUCAUAUAAGUGCUCUGCCUUCACUUAUGUCUUACCUUGUUAUCACGUUAUGCUUGUUAUUGUUAAUUUGCAGGAUUCACAUUGGUGGCAUAACAGGUCUUUGUUCACUGCCUUGGUUGUGAAGCGGCUUGUACUUUGGCUUUAGGUUUAGUAUUGCAGGAUUUGCAGCAUUUGGCAACACUACUCUAUUUGUCACUAUCAUCUUUAACUCUGACGUAUCUCUCAAGAGCAACGUCCAUCUCAUACGGUCCUCCUUCUCCACUUACGGUUUUUAGCUUGCUAUUGCAAUUGAUGGAUGUGAGAUUUGAACGACGAUUGUGGAUGAUUCUAGAAGUUAAGGGUCGGUGGUGAAGAUUGCUUGACGAGAAGUGGCGAGGGGUGGAGCGUGGAGAGCGUGUGAGAUGGAUAAACAGUGUUGUCGUGGACGUAGACAUUAUUGCUGCCAUGUGGUUGUUCUGCAGUUUGUGGCACUUUUCUUGAAUUGCUUUCCUUUGUUUUGUCCCUUUUGGUCAUGUAAAGUUAUCAUUGCUGGUAUUGUAAAAUGACCAACAGUUUGGAUUUGUAAUAACUUUUAUUUAUUUGAUUAAAUUGGCUUAGGUGAAUGAGUUGAGAUUGGUUUGUGGCUUAUAGUUUUGCUUAGGUAAGAUGGUAAUUUAUGGCAAGGUACUAUGAAACUCAUGUUUCCUUGAUAUUUCGGAUGCCCAAAAGCUAUUGGGAGGCUACUGAGCGACUUAUGUAUCUUUUGCAAACCAGGAAGGCACAUAGUAAUCAAGACAUAUUAUUUAAAUGACCAAACUUGAAUGUACACAUGGAUAGCUAUAAAAACAAGAAUGAGAAGUCAACCUUAAGAUUAUUAUAAGGGUAGGGAUUCUAAGGUUAAAAAAGAUUCGAGUUGACUUUGGUCAAUAGUUGACCAAAAAGUCAACUGAUGGCCUAAAGUCAACAAAUGGUCAACACACUCUUCUUUGUAUUUUUUCCCGUGUAAUGCACUCUUUCAUGAUCAUGUAAUGAAUAACAUUUCCUUAUUUGAAUAAAAUUGAAUUUUGCCUCUCAA